rnacentral:rRNA from 1 species
AAACUUUCAACAACGGAUCUCUUGGUUCUGGCAUCGAUGAAGAACGCAGCGAAAUGCGAUAAGUAGUGUGAAUUGCAGAAUUCAGUGAAUCAUCGAAUCUUUGAACGCACAUUGCGCCCCUCGGUAUCCCGAGGGGCAUGCCUGUUCGAGCGUCAUU